rnacentral:rRNA from 1 species
AACGAACGCUGGCGGCAGGCUUAACACAUGCAAGUCGAGCGCCCCGCAAGGGGAGCGGCAGACGGGUGAGUAACGCGUGGGAAUCCACCCAGCUCUACGGAAUAACUCAGGGAAACUUGUGCUAAUACCGUAUACGUCCUCCGGGAGAAAGAUUUAUCGGAGUUGGAUGAGCCCGCGUUGGAUUAGCUAGUUGGUGGGGUAAUGGCCCACCAAGGCGACGAUCCAUAGCUGGUCUGAGAGGAUGAUCAGCCACAUUGGGACUGAGACACGGCCCAAACUCCUACGGGAGGCAGCAGUGGGGAAUAUUGGACAAUGGGCGAAAGCCUGAUCCAGCCAUGCCGCGUGAGUGAUGAAGGCCCUAGGGUUGUAAAGCUCUUUCACCGGUGAAGAUAAUGACGGUAACCGGAGAAGAAGCCCCGGCUAACUUCGUGCCAGCCGCCGCCGUAA